rnacentral:ribozyme from 14 species
CAUAAAAAAAAAAAAAUAAUAUAAAAAAACAGAAGCAAAUCAGGCCGUUGCCUUUUUAUGCUUUGUUUUUUUUCUUUU